CGAAAACGAAUUCUCUCUUGAGUGGAUCCUGAGUACGACGGAGCACGUGAAAUUCCGUCGGAAUCUGGGAGGACCAUCUCCUAAGGCUAAAUACUCUCUAGUGACCGAUAGUGAACCAGUACCGUGAGGGAAAGGUGAAAAGUACCCCGGAAGGGGAGUGAAAGAGAACUUGAAACCGUGUGCUUACAAGUAGUCAGAGCCCGUUAAUGGGUGAUGGCGUGCCUUUUGUAGAAUGAACCGGCGAGUUACGAUCUGAUGCAAGGUUAAGCAGAAAAUGUGGAGCCGUAGCGAAAGCGAGUCUGAAUAGGGCGAAUGAGUAUUUGGUCGUAGACCCGAAACCAGGUGAUCUACCCUUGGUCAGGUUGAAGUUCAGGUAACACUGAAUGGAGGACCGAACCGACUUACGUUGAAAAGUGAGCGGAUGAACUGAGGGUAGCGGAGAAAUUCCAAUCGAACUUGGAGAUAGCUGGUUCUCUCCGAAAUAGCUUUAGGGCUAGCCUCAAGUGAUGAUUAUUGGAGGUAGAGCACUGUUUGGACGAGGGGCCCCUCUCGGGUUACCGAAUUCAGACAAACUCCGAAUGCCAAAUAAUUUAACUUGGGAGUCAGAAUGUGGGUGAUAAGGUCCAUAUUCGAAAGGGAAACAGCCCAGACCACCAGCUAAGGUCCCAAAAUAUAUGUUAAGUGGAAAAGGAUGUGGCGUUGCCCAGACAACUAGGAUGUUGGCUUAGAAGCAGCCAUCAUUUAAAGAGUGCGUAAUAGCUCACUAGUCGAGUGACACUGCGCCGAAAAUGUACCGGGGCUAAACAUAUUACCGAAGCUGUGGAUUGUCCUUUGGACAAUGGUAGGAGAGCGUUCUAAGGGCGUUGAAGCAUGAUCGCAAGGACAUGUGGAGCGCUUAGAAGUGAGAAUGCCGGUGUGAGUAGCGAAAGACGGGUGAGAAUCCCGUCCACCGAUUGACUAAGGUUUCCAGAGGAAGGCUCGUCCGCUCUGGGUUAGUCGGGUCCUAAGCUGAGGCCGACAGGCGUAGGCGAUGGAUAACAGGUUGAUAUUCCUGUACCACCAUUAUUCGUUUUAAGCGAUGGGGGGACGCAGUAGGAUAGGCGAAGCGUGCUGUUGGAGUGCACGUCCAAGCAGUGAGAUUGAGUGUUAGGCAAAUCCGGCACUCUUAAGAUUGAGCUGUGAUGGGGAGAGGAACUUGUUCCUCGAGUCGUUGAUUUCACACUGCCGAGAAAAGCCUCUAGCUAGAAUAACGGUGCCCGUACCGCAAACCGACACAGGUAGUCAAGAUGAGAAUUCUAAGGUGAGCGAGCGAACUCUCGUUAAGGAACUCGGCAAAAUGACCCCGUAACUUCGGGAGAAGGGGUGCUCUUUGAGGUUCACGCUUCGAAGAGCCGCAGUGAAUAGGCCCAAGCGACUGUUUAUCAAAAACACAGGUCUCUGCUAAACCGUAAGGUGACGUAUAGGGGCUGACGCCUGCCCGGUGCUGGAAGGUUAAGAGGAGUGGUUAGCGCAAGCGAAGCUACGAAUCGAAGCCCCAGUAAACGGCGGCCGUAACUAUAACGGUCCUAAGGUAGCGAAAUUCCUUGUCGGGUAAGUUCCGACCCGCACGAAAGGCGUAACGAUUUGGGCACUGUCUCAACGAGAGACUCGGUGAAAUCAUAGUACCGGUGAAGAUGCCGGUUACCCGCGACAGGACGGAAAGACCCCGUGGAGCUUUACUGUAGCCUGAUAUUGAAAUUCGGUACAGUUUGUACAGGAUAGGUAGGAGCCUUAGAAGCGUGAGCGCUAGCUUACGUGGAGGCAUUGGUGGGAUACUACCCUAAUUGUAUUGGAUUUCUAACCCGCAGCACUUAUCGUGCUGGGAGACAGUGUCAGGCGGGCAGUUUGACUGGGGCGGUCGCCUCCUAAAGAGUAACGGAGGCGCUCAAAGGUUCCCUCAGAAUGGUUGGAAAUCAUUCAUAGAGUGUAAAGGCAUAAGGGAGCUUGACUGCGAGACCUACAAGUCGAGCAGGGUCGAAAGACGGACUUAGUGAUCCGGUGGUUCCGCAUGGAAGGGCCAUCGCUCAACGGAUAAAAGCUACCCCGGGGAUAACAGGCUUAUCUCCCCCAAGAGUUCACAUCGACGGGGAGGUUUGGCACCUCGAUGUCGGCUCAUCGCAUCCUGGGGCUGUAGUCGGUCCCAAGGGUUGGGCUGUUCGCCCAUUAAAGCGGUACGCGAGCUGGGUUCAGAACGUCGUGAGACAGUUCGGUCCCUAUCCGUCGUGGGCGUAGGAAAUUUGAGAGGAGCUGUCCUUAGUACGAGAGGACCGGGAUGGACAUACCUCUGGUGUACCAGUUGUCGUGCCAACGGCAUAGCUGGGUAGCUAUGUAUGGACGGGAUAAGUGCUGAAAGCA
rnacentral:rRNA from 1 species